rnacentral:rRNA from 1 species
GACGAACGCUGGCGGCGUGCUUAACACAUGCAAGUCGAACGGAAAGGCCCUGCUUUUGUGGGGUGCUCGAGUGGCGAACGGGUGAGUAACACGUGAGUAACCUGCCCUUGACUUUGGGAUAACUUCAGGAAACUGGGGCUAAUACCGGAUAGGAGCUCCUGCUGCAUGGUGGGGGUUGGAAAGUUUCGGCGGUUGGGGAUGGAUUCGCGGCUUAUCAGCUUGUUGGUGGGGUAGUGGCUUACCAAGGCUUUGACGGGUAGCCGGCCUGGGAGGGUGACCGGCCACAUUGGGCCUGAGAUACGGCCCAGACUCCUACGGGAGGCAGCAGUGGGGAGUAUUGCACAAUGGGCGGAAGCCUGAUGCAGCGACGCCGCGUGCGGGAUGACGGCCUUCGGGUUGUAAACCGCUUUCGCCUGUGACGAAGCGUGAGUGACGGUAAUGGGUAAAGAAGCACCGGCUAACUACGUG